UACAGAGGGGGCAAGCGUUAUUCGGAAUUAUUGGGCGUAAAGGGCGCGUAGGCGGCCUGGCAAGUGGAAGGUGAAAUCCCUCGGCUUAACCGAGGAACUGCCUCCCAAACUGCUUGGCUUGAGACCGGGAGAGGUGAGUGGAAUUCCCAGUGUAGCGGUGAAAUGCGUAGAUAUUGGGAGGAACACCAGAGGCGAAGGCGGCGACCUGGAAGGUAACUGACACUGAGCAGCGAAAGCGUGGGGAGCAAACAGG
rnacentral:rRNA from 1 species